rnacentral:rRNA from 1 species
GACGAACGCUGGCGGCGUGCCUAAUACAUGCAAGUAGAACGCAGUUGCGGACGGGUGAGUAAUGCGUAGGUACCUGCCUCAUAGCGGGGGAUCACUAUUGGAACCGAUAUCUAAUACCGCAUACUGUGAGAUGGACCUGCGGUUGAUUAGCUAGUUGGUGAGGUAACGGCUCACCAAGGCGAAGGUACAUAGCCUACCUGAGCGGGUGAUCGGCCACAAUGGGACCUAGAACCGGCCCCGACUCCCACGGGAGGGAGCAGGAGGGAAACUUCGGCAAUUGACGGAAGGCUGAACGAGCAAAGCCGCGUGAGUGAAGAAGGUUGUCGGAUUGUAAAGCUCUGUUGUUAGAGAAGCGGUAACUAACCAGAAAGGGACGGCUAACUACGUGCCAGCAGCCGCGGUAAUUC